rnacentral:rRNA from 1 species
GAUGAACGCUAGCUACAGGCUUAACACAUGCAAGUCGAGGGGAAACGGCAUUGAGUGCUUGCACUCUUUGGACGUCGACCGGCGCACGGGUGAGUAACGCGUAUCCAACCUUCCCAUUACUGUGGGAUAACCUGCCGAAAGGCAGACUAAUACCGCAUAGUCUUCGAUGACGGCAUCAGAUUUGAAGUAAAGAUUUAUCGGUAAUGGAUGGGGAUGCGUCUGAUUAGCUUGUUGGCGGGGUAACGGCCCACCAAGGCAACGAUCAGUAGGGGUUCUGAGAGGAAGGUCCCCCACAUUGGAACUGAGACACGGUCCAAACUCCUACGGGAGGCAGCAGUGAGGAAUAUUGGUCAAUGGACGGAAGUCUGAACCAGCCAAGUAGCGUGCAGGAUGACGGCCCUAUGGGUUGUAAACUGCUUUUGUAUGGGGAUAAAGUUAGGGACGUGUCCCUAUUUGCAGGUACCAUACGAAUAAGGACCGGCUAAUUCCGUGCCAGCAGCCGCGGUAAUACGGAAGGUCCAGGCGUUAUCCGGAUUUAUUGGGUUUAAAGGGAGCGUAGGCUGGAGAUUAAGUGUGUUGUGAAAUGUAGACGCUCAACGUCUGACUUGCAGCGCAUACUGGUUUCCUUGAGUACGCACAACGUUGGCGGAAUUCGUCGUGUAGCGGUGAAAUGCUUAGAUAUGACGAAGAACUCCGAUUGCGAAGGCAGCUGACGGGAGCGCAACUGACGCUUAAGCUCGAAGGUGCGGGUAUCAAACAGG